CGGACGGGUGAGUAACGCGUGAGAAUCUGCCCUCAGGAGGGGGAUAACGGCUGGAAACGGCCGCUAAUACCCCAUAUGCCGAGAGGUGAAAUGAAUUUCGCCUGAGGAUGAGCUCGCGUCUGAUUAGCUAGUUGGUAGGGUAAAGGCCUACCAAGGCUUCCAUCAGUAGCUGGUCUGAGAGGAUGAUCAGCCACACUGGGACUGAGACACGGCCCAGACUCCUACGGGAGGCAGCAGUGGGGAAUUUUCCGCAAUGGGCGAAAGCCUGACGGAGCAACGCCGCGUGAGGGAUGAAGGCCUCUGGGCUGUAAACCUCUUUUAUCAAGGAAGAAGAUCUGACGGUACUUGAUGAAUAAGCCACGGCUAAUUCCGUGCCAGCAGCCGCGGUAAUACGGGAGUGGCAAGCGUUAUCCGGAAUUAUUGGGCGUAAAGCGUCCGCAGGCGGUCUUACAAGUCUGUCGUUAAAGCGUGGAGCUUAACUCCAUUUCAGCGAUGGAAACUGUAAGACUAGAGUGUGGUAGGGGCAGAGGGAAUUCCCGGUGUAGCGGUGGAAUGCGUAGAUAUCGGGAAGAACACCAGUGGCGAAGGCGCUCUGCUGGGCCAUAACUGGCGCUCAUGGACGAAAGCCAGGGGAGCGAAAGGGAUUAGAUACCCCUGUAGUC
rnacentral:rRNA from 1 species